UUGCGACUGGUCUCUUAUGAGCUCCUAAUAGGUGAUUCCAGGCAAAAAAAAAGGCUCCCUGGAAUCAGAGAGCCACCCAAUUAUUCCCCUAAUGAGCUCACGGUCCCAGCUGGAGACAGUCCUGGCUGGCUUGUAUUUCUCUUCCUCUGCAACUUGUCUUCCUUUGAAGACAGACUUUGACCUUGUCUUCCUUUGCAACUUGUGGCCAAAGGAUCAGAGGGUCAGCUUGUCCGGGGAAGUUGCUGGAGGGGCCUACAUGAGGACAGAGGGAGCAGCCACAGGCUGAGUCCAGCCCUGGGUCCUUGUCAGCACUGACUGGCAGCAGCUCUCCAAAGUUUCAGCAUCUUCUCUGGCCCAGCUGGCUCCGAUCCCACCUCGCCGUCUCCUCGCUGAGAUGAACAGCAGGGAGAAAUCUCAAACCUGACACCUCUGGAUCGAUAAAUGGCAAAAGCAACCAUCACUGCCUGAGCAUUAUCCCGAAGGUUUGCUCCAUAUGUCCAGCUUCCUGGGGUUUUUGCUGGCACACCCGGCGAUCAAUUUCAAAGGUCUUGGAUAAAUUGAUCUCCCCACCCUUCUCCUCUUCAGUGUGAUUUGCAUUUAAAUAUAUUUUCUCCCCCAUCCAAGUUGGCUUCCUUAAAGAGAAAGAGAAAAAGUUGCUUGGUCUGUAAUUAACUGGGAAGAAUCUUUCCUCUCUCUCCCUGUGCCUUUGCAAUUCUUCAGUUAUGAAUAAUGAUUUUAGCUCAUAAAUGAAAAUUACUUUUCUA